rfam:Butyrivibrio fibrisolvens 16/4 draft genome.
UAAUGCACAAAGUUGUUGCCGAAGACAGCAGGUGGCGUUAGCCGUAAAGAGAUUUAUCUCUACCAGCCGAGGACGAUUAAGUAUUUAUCGAUUACUUAUCCCCUGUGUCUUUGGAUGCAGGGGAUUUUUUAGAUGAAU